rnacentral:lncRNA from 1 species
GGCUUGUGCGUUCCCUGCCGGGGUAGACUGCAUCUUCAAACUGCCCAGAGCGUUUGGACAACUGCUCACAUACACACAGGAUGGAUGCUAGCAUGGAGACGCUCCAAGGACUCUCCCUCCACCAUCUUCAUCCCUGAACAUCUCCCUGUGGGUCACAAAUACAAACAGGCCAAGUAGUGGUGCCCCUGUCAGUCACUCACGGCUCUCUGGAGCUGAAGAUUGAGCCUCGCCCCGUUUGCUCUGUCAUCUACAUUUUUGCACAGACAAGUUUUGAACAGGCUCGGUGGCAUUCACUCCAGACCCAGUCUCUCCUGGGGAUGAACGGAUAUAUAACGAUGCCUGGAAGGACAGUUGAAACAUUCCAUCUGACGGAAUUCAGCUUUUCCUGAACACAGCGUCUCAGAGCCGUGGGCUUCUUCUCAGCAGUCCACGAGCAUUGUGCUUUAAUAAAAAAUGAAAAGCAGCAAAUACAAACAGUGAGCAAGGAAACUG